UAUUCCUGGAUUAAUGCUUGUUGCUUGAUGUAGUUGUAGAGCUGUUGGUGGAAAGGAUGGUCCAAGGAGUAGCAGUCAUCAGCUCCAGCAGACGAAAUCCGAGAUGACCCAUUCCUUUCUCUUCGGCAGAAGUGGGGAAGAGAAUCAUAAUCCAUUAUCUGCAGAUUAGAACCUCAAAAAACUGUAAGCAUGUUUGGUUAAAAGGUUAAAACCAAGAGAUAAACAGUUGUGACACAAGCAUAGAACAAAGUCAGACCCACAUCCCAUCCAAUCCCAAAAAGAAGCAACGAAGAAGAAAAGAAGAUAAUUUACUUGAAAAAUACUCCCCUGCAAACUAAAAAUUGAAUGGCCAAACUUAGAAAGAAAAAUAUCAUGAUUUGUUGCUAAGACCUCUACAAAUUUAAUAUCUGAUGAAGCUAAAUUUUCAACUUGGAAUGGAAAAUCGAACAGCUUUUCAUGACAUAUAAACAUCAUCAGACAAUAAAUUUAAACAAGGCAAAGCUGCAACGCCAGACAGAUAAAACCAUAUCAGCUGUGAAAAUGAAUGCAAAUUCCUUAAUUCUUCAUGAAAAUGGAAAAGCGACACUAACUUAAAUACUCUUACAGAUUGGAAGAUGUAAAUGUUAGAUUGGAAAAGCAACCACAGACUGGUCUCUGUGAUAUGUAUACUAUGUUUGAGAAAGUACAGUUAUAUGUUCAUACCAAAUAUUCUAGUUGUUACACAGUAAUAUAGUCUCAUGUUUAAAUGAUUGAAGAUUCUUCUGCUGCUUAGAAAAACAACUGGAGCUUCUCACCUUCAACAACUCAUCUCUGCCACAACCUUGCAGUAUUUGUAUUUUCCUUCUUGUCCUUUCUUGUAAAAGAGGCUUCACAACCUGGCAAAGCAAAGACACACCAAGCACCAUUUUUAUAAUAAUUAGAACACACACCACUCGAGAUAGGAAUCAACAUCUUGAUAACAAUAAAUAUCCAACUGGAAGUAACCAUCUACCUUCCAACAUGCUGAGAAUACAUAUGGAGCGUUAACUACAUAAUACGUUUGUGUCUUCUCCGGAUAGUUUAGGUCAUCAAUAGUUGUUAUGAUGGUCAUUAACUGCACCCAUAAACAAAACAAAGAAGGAACUUCAACAUAUCUAUCAAAGGUAUUAGCGUGAGAGGCAUUACACAUGCAGCAAACUUAAAGAUUAACAUU
rnacentral:lncRNA from 1 species